UUAAGACGUCAUAUCAAAGGUCAAGCUUAUUUCCCCAAUUUUCAUACCCUGCUCCCAAAUUUGCCCAUCUUCAAUGAAGUUUCAAUGAUUCUCAAUGUUUCAGCGUUCUCUAUUAAAUUUGAUCAUCAAUUUAUGUAAUCCAAUCGUUUCUUCUUCAAUGGCCCGUCCGUUUCUAGCAAUCCCACGUAUUAAGAAGUCAUCAUUGAAAUCACGCACAAGUGUGUUGGUGGCGAUGGAUAAGCUGUUCAUAUUUUAGGUUUCUCUUUAGUUUCAUGGUGGGAGCAAAUACCCUCACAUUAAAGACGCCAAUUCAAUCGCCCCUUCCGGUUAUCUACAGUCAGCAAUGGAAAUCAGGAGACAACAUUUAUGAUUAUAGUUCCUGAUCACCAGGUCCGAAUUAGUCUUUUCUCUUCCACAGUACUUCCCCUGAUUGAAAUUGCUAUGAAUUUAGGGUUUUAGUUUCCUAUUUUGAUGAUCACAGAUUCAAGUUAGAUUUCGAGUAUUUUGAUUGUUUAAUUUAUAUGAUUUAUGCUCAAUGGGGAAGGCUAUUUGUUUGUUGCUUUCUCAUAUUUUGAUAAAGAUGGCAGUGGCUAUAUGCCUAUAUCACCCUUGAUGAACUCCAACAAGUCUGCAAAGAAAUCAGAGUAAAUGAUGAAUCUUGUGGUUAGUUUUGAACGGUUGAGGAAAACAGACACGGUGAUCUUCUCCACAGGUAUCUGUACCUCUUUCGGCGGGUUGACAUUAGGCAAGUUCAAAAAACCAUUCAAUAUCUCAUUGGAUCUGCAAUGGUAAUAUUUUUCUUUUGUAUAUUCUUGUUGUGAAACUUGUUUUCUUUAUUUUUCUUCGUCUAGUAUCAGUAGUUGAUCUUAUGGGUGGGAAAAUUAGUGGGUUUGGUAACAAUUCGUAAGGGGUAAUGUUUUCAUGCAGGUUGGAGUGGUUGUGCCGGGCUGGUCACACUUUUUGUUCACUUUCUAAAAUGUGUUCAUAAAUCAUUUGCGUUAAAUAUGCUUAUAUUAUUAAAUAAAUUGUAAGGUUUGGAGUAAAGUGAUUUAGUAAGGUUGUUUGCACUAAAAAUGCACUUCAAACUUUUGACCCAUUUAGCCUGCCCUUUGGCAGCUAGGUUUAGCAAGUGUUCCCUGUGAUACCGGGUCCGUUAGUUAUGCAUAUCUAUGUUGUCAAAGAUGCAAGGCGGCAAGGUGCAUAGGCUGAUCCCAGAACUUAAAAAAACAUGAUGGGGAGAAGGGUGUUUCGGGCCUUUCGGCGGUGGAGGGUAGUAUUGUAAUUUCAGAGAAAGUGUCGAGUGCGGCUGGGACGGUAGCGCGAAACGUGUUUGAAGUGGAUUGUCUACCGUUGUGGGUUUCACUUCUAUCUGUGGAAGGAGACCCGAGAUGGAAGAUGUGGUUGCGACCGUGCCUAGAUUCUUGAAGGUCCCUAUUCAAAUGUUGACCGGUGACCGCGGUGUUGUUGACCCGUUGAGCAAACGUUUAAACCAUUUGACCACCCAUUUCUUUGGGGUCUAUGAUGGGCAUGGUGGUUCUCAGGUAUGUACAGUUUCUAACUUUCAGUAACAUUUGAAGUGUGAUUGUGAAUGGUACAGUUUGACUUUUUUAAGGUCAAACUGUAUACUUUUCAACUUCGAAACUGUUACAACUAAUUUGUUUUAAAUAAAUCAUUAUGCACUUAGGAACAAGUAUAUACAAUGACCUGUAAAAAAGAGACACACGUACCAAAAUUUAUACUGAUAAAUCAUCUCAUGUUUUCUACUGUAUCCUCACUAUGGCUUUAGGUAGAUUGAAGGUUAUUACAAUAUUUUAUACUAAUUUUCCUAUUAAAAUUAGUUUUUUUCCUUCCAGUUAUUGUUAUUGGGGAACAUGUAUAUUUAUGUUUAUGUUUCACAACGAUUUGGUUAUGUUGGAAGGGAAUAGAUGAGCAAGUGGAAGACUUGGGAAACCAAAACAAAUACAAAACAACACAGGUCCUCUAGAUGGUACGUCACUCAUUCAAGUUAUUAUUAUAUAUCAAAUUACGUUAAAAUGAUAAAGCCAAAUACAUAAAUAUUAUAUUUAUAAUUAUAAAUGUAUGUAGAUAAAAUAACUAAUAAAUAAUAAACGAGUCAAACUCAACUUAAAAAAAUUACUCACGAGACAAUGUCGGGCUUUAGACCUAGAGCUCGAAACCAUCAGAAGUUGAGAUCACACUCUCUUAAGUUACACGACCCAUUCCGGUGCUUAGAUGGCCCAGGACUCGACUCGACUUGGCUUGUUUAAUUACAAGAAUAAAUCUUGUGAGCCAAUCUCCCAUUUUACUUUGGAUCGUAAGUCUCCAUGCUCUAUCUUUAAUUAUAGACCUUUUACAUUUUGUAUAGCAUAACUAAGGGGGAGGGGUGCUUACCUUAAAACCAUGGGCCCUACCCAUUUUACUCUACUCACCUACCCGCCGAAGCUACCCAUAGGGGUGGAGGCGGUGUAUCCGGUUCAGGUACAUACCCGCAUGACGCCCCCUCCACCCUGACAGAAUUGGUGACUGUUUUUCUUGUUGAACAACAUUAAUGUAACCAAAAACAUUUCACAAAUUAAGGGAUUAAGAUCACAAUUCAAGGUUUUCUUGAUUGAAUAAUCUUUCCAUUAAGCGAAGGCUUUUAAUUAUUAAAUAAAGCAUUUAGUGAUUAUCUUGAAUAAACUAUUGUUAAGAGUAGUUUAUUUUCGUGUUAAUAACAUAGAAGGCUACUCAAAUUACUAUGGGAAUCCUCUUGAUAAUUAUAUAAUGAUUUAUAUGGAUGUAUCACUUCGAUAGCAUUUUAAGUUGCUUUAUAGACAAUGGUAGCUGCGUAACACUCAACUGUUUUUUUUUUCCUUUUGCAUCAAGAAAUUCACCAAAGCCGCAUUAUAUGAUGAGAUACAUGCAAAUCAUAAGAUAUAUAUUAUAUUAAUAUGUUUUAAUGUUUUUCUAAUUCAUCUUUUAAUUAAUUCUUAAACCCAAGCAAUCCUGGGAACAAAGGAGAACGACAACACUUUUGUAUAGCUAAAGUUAUUUUGCUCAUUUAAAAGCAAACAACCCAUCGAACCGCCCUGUGCACACCCUUAAAAUCACUAAUGUACGUGUUACCCGCCGCAACGCGCGGGCACCCCACUAGUACUAUAAAAAGGAGAAGUGAUGUACAAGAUUGUAAUUUUACCACAUGUACAAGUUUUGAAGCAAGAUAUACAAGAGUGUGGAAGCCAAUACAACAGAGAUAUGGAUUUAUUUUUAAGACACCUUAUUUGAGAUUUUGCAACAGGAUUGAAUGUUGCAUUCAUUAUCUAUUAUAGCCAACUCUUGACUAUCUUACUUUAUGGCUAUAACUGCCAUGGUGGUGAUUACAAUGCGCUUCAUUUCUCAUCUUCCUACUCUCUCUAUCUACUUCUCUCUCUGCUAAAUCUUAACCUUGUUACUUUUCUCCGGUUCAUCUAGAUUAGCAAUCGCAAAACAGGUAAUUUCCAAUCACCUUCAGUAAUCGUUGAUAUAUCCUUUUCAAUCAUCUCAGUUUUACCAACAAUUUGUUCUUUGUGUUUGUAUUAAUCCGGUAAGAUUUCUUGUAAUACCACCACAUCUUUUGUUUAUGUUUUUUUGGAUUAUGAUGAUUUUAGUUCUAUGGAUUUAUGUGAUCAAUUUGGGUUGGGUGUUCCAUAAUGGGGUUGGUCAUUUCGAGCAGGGUUGGUCAUUUGGAGCAGCAAGAGCUAACCCUAAUUUCACCCCCAAUUUUGCUUUUGUAGGUAAGGCUUUUAUAUACAGAUUUAAAGCUUAUGAAGUUGAUUCCGAUAAUAUCAACCAUCAAGAAAAUGUUUUUUUUUUCAAUCUUUGAGUUGUGUUGUCACGGGAGGCUUGGAGAACGAUGCAGGACCUGAAAAUGCUAGAGAACAUGAUAACAGUGAGGUUCGUGCAUCUUUACUGGUGAAAAUGGAUGUUCUUUAUGGUGCUCCAACGCUCUAUGGUGUUGCCAAAUAACAAGAAGCAAAUCAUGGAGUAUAUACUGUUGUCACAUUCCCUUUCCUGUUUGCUGUGAUGUUUGGUGAUUAGGGGCAUGGUAUAUGUAUCCUGCUGGCAUAUUUCUCAAGUCAGAAGCUUGGAGACGGUACCGAGUAGUAAACCAUUGGGUAGUCCGGAACGGGAUCAUGGGUGUGUCAGAUCCGAUGAUGAAUAAUAAUAUCGUUUCUAGCAGUGCGUUACAGGGUGGGGUGGGGGUAUGGUGGGGUUAGGGGUGCCCGGUGUGGUUGCGGUUACUGUCGGGUCACCCGCAGUUUUGUUAGACAGAAUGGGGAAGAAUAAUGGAGAUACGUCGUCGGUUUCGCCUUCACCUUAUGAGUUUACUGGGAUUGUAAGGGGUAGAAGAAGCGGGACGGUUGAAAAGGUUGUUGAACGAAGACAGAGACGAAUGAUAAAAAACCGUGAAUCAGCUGCUAGAUCGCGAGCUCGUAAGCAGGCGUACACUAUGGAACUGGAAGCCGAAGUGGUUAACGCAGGUAAACCGAAUCAGAUUUGGUCGACAAAGGGUUCGGAGAGGUAUUACCAUGAACACCCGAACUAAUCAAGUAUGAUCAUUGAUGUGCGUUAGGUGUAAUAUAUUUUAGGUGUAUAUUUUAAGCCCUUUUUACACUUUUUAGCCAAGUUUUAAAUUUAUAAAACACGAUAUUUACUAAAACUAAACACACAUAUGGGCAAGUGCACCCAUCGUGAGCGUAGUAUAGUGUUGGUAAGAUACCGAGGUCGUCCAAGGACACAAGAGCUUUUAGUACGGGUUUAUCCUCAACGUCUAAUCAAAUCAAAAGUUAGAAAAAUGUUUUUAAACUAGAAAAAUAAAACUAACUAAGAUGCUGAAAAAUAAAAUAAAAGUAAAAA